rnacentral:rRNA from 1 species
UGCCUGUACCAUAACCGACACAGGUGGGUAGGUAGAGUAUACUAAGGGGCGCGAGAUAACUCUCUCUAAGGAACUCGGCAAAAUGACUCCGUAACUUCGGGAGAAGGAGUGCCUUAUUUAUAAGGUUGCAAUAACAGGAUCCAAGCAACUGUUUAUCAAAAACACAGGUCUCCGCUAAGUCGUAAGACGAUGUAUGGGGGCUGACGCCUGCCCAGUGCCAGAAGGUUAAAGAAGUUGGUUAGUGUAUGCGAAGCUGAUGACUGAAGCCCUGGUGAACGGCGGCCGUAACUAUAACGGUCCUAAGGUAGCGAAAUUCCUUGUCGGGUAAGUUCCGACCCGCACGAAAGGCGUAAUGAUUUGGAUACUGUCUCGGAGAGAGGCUCGGUGAAAUAGACUUGUCUGUGAAGAUGCGGACUACCUGCACCAGGACAGAAAGACCCUAUGAAGCUUUACUGUAACUUGAAAUUGGAAUUGGACUCUGCUUGCGCAGUAUAGGUGGGAAGCGUUGAAGAUAUUCUUGCGGGAGUAUUGGAGCUAUCAGUGAGAUACCACUCUUGUAAUGUUAGAUUUCUAACUUUGAACCAUAAUCAGGUCAAAGAACAGUUUCAGGUGGGCAGUUUGACUGGGGCGGUUGCCUCCCAAAUGGUAACGGAGGCGUACAAAGGUUUCCUCUGAACGGAUAGAAAUCGUAUCUAGAGUGUAAAGGCAUAAGGAAGCUUGACUGUGAGACCUACAAGUCGAGCAGGGACGAAAGUCGGUCUUAGUGAUCUGACGGUACUGAGUGGAAAGGCCGUCACUCAACGGAUAAAAGUUACUCUAGGGAUAACAGGCUGAUCUCCCCCAAGAGUUCACAUCGACGGGGAGGUUUGGCACCUCGAUGUCGGCUCAUCGCAUCCUGGGGCGGUAGUACGUCCCAAGGGUUGGGCUGUUCGCCCAUGAAAGCAGUACGCGAGCUGGGUUCAGAACGUCGUGAGACAGUUCGGUCCAUAUCCGGUGUAGGCGUUAGAAUAUUGAGAGGAGCCUUCUUUAGUACGAGAGGACCGAGAAGGACACGCCGCUGGUGUACCAGUUAUCGUGCCAACGGUAAACGCUGGGUAGCUAUGUGUGGAGUGGAUAACCGCUGAAAGCAUCUAAGUGGGAAGCCCACCUCAAGAUGAUUGCUCUCACAGGGUUAACCUGGUAAGGUCACGGGAAGACCACCCGUUGAUAGGCACUCGGUGGAAGUCCAGCAAUGGAUGAAGCC